GUGUCAGCAGCCGCGGUAAUACGGAGGGUGCAAGCGUUAAUCGGAAUUACUGGGCGUAAAGCGCACGCAGGCGGUUGGAUAAGUUAGAUGUGAAAGCCCCGGGCUCAACCUGGGAAUUGCAUUUAAAACUGUCCAGCUAGAGUCUUGUAGAGGGGGGUAGAAUUCCAGGUGUAGCGGUGAAAUGCGUAGAGAUCUGGAGGAAUACCGGUGGCGAAGGCGGCCCCCUGGACAAAGACUGACGCUCAGGAGCGAAGGCGUGGGGGUCUUACAGGAUUAGAAACCCCCGUGGUCC
rnacentral:rRNA from 1 species